rnacentral:rRNA from 1 species
GACGAACGCUGGCGGCGUGCUUAACACAUGCAAGUCGAACGGAAAGGCCCUGCUUGCAGGGUACUCGAGUGGCGAACGGGUGAGUAACACGUGGGUGAUCUGCCCUGCACUUCGGGAUAAGCCUGGGAAACUGGGUCUAAUACCGGAUAGGAGCCAUUUUUAGUGUGAUGGUUGGAAAGUUUUUUCGGUGAAGGAUGAGCUCGCGGCCUAUCAGCUUGUUGGUGGGGUAAUGGCCUACCAAGGCGGCGACGGGUAGCCGGCCUGAGAGGGUGGACGGCCACAUUGGGACUGAGAUACGGCCCAGACUCCUACGGGAGGCAGCAGUGGGGAAUAUUGCACAAUGGGCGCAAGCCUGAUGCAGCGACGCCGCGUGGGGGAUGACGGCCUUCGGGUUGUAAACGCCUUUCGCUAGGGACGAAGCUUUUUGUGACGGUACCUAGAUAAGAAGCACCGGCUAACUACGUG